rnacentral:tRNA from 1 species
AUGGUGUAGUGGUUAGCACUCUGGACUUUGAAUCCAGCGACGAACCUUAAAGUGUUUU